CAACCAGGCGCUCGACUCCGAGACGCCCCAACCAAGCACUUAACCUCGGCCCGAUCUCCCUCGGAAGCCUGACUUCGGAAGCCCGACCUUACCAUCCACCUGCUGCGGUCACAUCCUUCUGCAGCUCGACCAGGGGCCAUGCCCUGCUACCACCGUCAACAAUUAAUGCACAUGGCCUCUGCUAAUCUCCGGUUCACUCAACAAUUAAUGCGCAUGGCCUCUGCUGAUCUCCGGC
rnacentral:lncRNA from 1 species